GCCAGGCUCACCUGGCAGCGCCGCGGGCUCCGCGUCCCGGGGAUCUUCGUAUAUCGCCACUGGGCUGCUGCCGCUGCAACCAGGAAAGAACUUCCGCGGAGAGGCGAACUAGCCGGACACAAAAACCGUGAGCAUGGGUCAGCCCUCGGGCCCCGGAGCGUGCAGACCCUGCCUGGCACCGGCCCGCGGCCCCACCUUCCUCUCUAGCUUCCUGGGCUUGACGAAAGGCCGGCCCCCCAGCUCCAGCAUCCUGUUGGGGCAGAUGCGGUCGAAGGCUCGGCGUCCCGCUGCGGCGCCUCCGCACGACUGCAUCCUGCCUCCCCGCCGGCUUCGGCGCAGGAACGCGGCGCUGGUUCUGCGGCUGCGGUGGCCGCGGCCGGAAUAGCGACCCACAGUCAGCGCCCCGCCUGGCGCCUGCAGGGCCGUAAGGCACGAAAUAACCGCGGAGUAACACUCGCCAAAGCCUGACUCCGGCAUUUCACCGCCCUGUAGGAUUUGGUGCGGAUGUAGAAUUCGAUCGGGAACUUCCGCAGAACUGCCCCCAGAUUACAGAAGACCCCUACGCAAGGCUUGGGGGUGCACUUCUGGUCUUGACUCACGACUUGCCUUUGGUUUCUCUUUGCCUGAUGCCUAGAAGCGCUCCCCGUACCCCUAGCCCCGCACUUUCCCGGGCAGCUACUCCUGCGUGUAGCCUUUAAAAGAGAGUCGGUUAAGAAAAAGCGACAUCUACAAAUGCUCCUCCCCUUUCGGAAAACGCCUCACUGCACGGUCCCAAAUCCCCUAAAACCCCAAUCUCUUUCUCCCCCGAAAGCCUCAUUUGGCCACCGCAGCAUUUGGCCACUCUGUACACAGCUGGCCUUGGUCGCUCUGAGGAAGUCUUGGCGGCCCUUCCCAAGACCAGGGCCUCUCCCAAGAAGGAGCAUCUCCAAAUCCCUGGGUGAGGGUAUCCCUCAGACCACUCUUAGAUAUAGCGAAUUUUGUAACUUCCUAUUGGUCACCUUGUUUGUGUCUUAUACCAAGUAGUGGUAAUGAAAAUCCUCUUUUAAAGUGGUUUGACCCCUUUUUAUUUCUCUCUGUUAUCUGGAUUAAUAAAGGCACCCCUUAACAGUG